rnacentral:lncRNA from 1 species
GAGUUUUAAGGGUUUAGCGUUAACAGACUUGGGUGUGUCAAUAGGUCUAAGUUGUAGGAUGGAUUGAACAAUGACCUGCUAGUCAGCCCUGUUAAGCUUAUAAAUUAUACUUUAACUUGUUACUAGAUUAAUCACCCUCCUGCUUCAGCAAAGACAAUUCCAAUUGGUUACAGUGACAUAAAGGUACUGCAAUAGAUGUUUGAACAGUAUUCCAGUUUCUCUACAGAUGAAGGAAGUAUUUUUGAGGUGCACAACUUGUCCAUCAUUUGAAACUACUACUGC